GACGAACGCUGGCGGCGUGCCUAAUACAUGCAAGUAGAACGCUGAAGAGAGGAGCUUGCUCUUCUUGGAUGAGUUGCGAACGGGUGAGUAACGCGUAGGUAACCUGCCUUGUAGCGGGGGAUAACUAUUAGAAACGAUAGCUAAUACCGCAUAACAAUGGAUGACCCAUGUCAUUUAUUUGAAAGGGGCAAUUGCUCCACUACAAGAUGGACCUGCGUUGUAUUAGCUAGUAGGUGAGGUAACGGCUCACCUAGGCGACGAUACAUAGCCGACCUGAGAGGGUGAUCGGCCACACUGGGACUGAGACACGGCCCAGACUCCUACGGGAGGCAGCAGUAGGGAAUCUUCGGCAAUGGGGGCAACCCUGACCGAGCAACGCCGCGUGAGUGAAGAAGGUUUUCGGAUCGUAAAGCUCUGUUGUAAGUCAAGAACGAGUGUGAGAGUGGAAAGUUCACACUGUGACGGUAGCUUACCAGAAAGGGACGGCUAACUACGUGCCAGCAGCCGCGGUAAUACGUAGGUCCCGAGCGUUGUCCGGAUUUAUUGGGCGUAAAGCGAGCGCAGGCGGUUUGAUAAGUCUGAAGUUAAAGGCUGUGGCUCAACCAUAGUUCGCUUUGGAAACUGUCAAACUUGAGUGCAGAAGGGGAGAGUGGAAUUCCAUGUGUAGCGGUGAAAUGCGUAGAUAUAUGGAGGAACACCGGUGGCGAAAGCGGCUCUCUGGUCUGUAACUGACGCUGAGGCUCGAAAGCGUGGGGAGCGAACAGGAUUAGAUACCCUGGUAGUCCACGCCGUAAACGAUGAGUGCUAGGUGUUGGAUCCUUUCCGGGAUUCAGUGCCGCAGCUAACGCAUUAAGCACUCCGCCUGGGGAGUACGACCGCAAGGUUGAAACUCAAAGGAAUUGACGGGGGCCCGCACAAGCGGUGGAGCAUGUGGUUUAAUUCGAAGCAACGCGAAGAACCUUACCAGGUCUUGACAUCCCGAUGCUAUUUCUAGAGAUAGAAAGUUACUUCGGUACAUCGGUGACAGGUGGUGCAUGGUUGUCGUCAGCUCGUGUCGUGAGAUGUUGGGUUAAGUCCCGCAACGAGCGCAACCCCUAUUGUUAGUUGCCAUCAUUCAGUUGGGCACUCUAGCGAGACUGCCGGUAAUAAACCGGAGGAAGGUGGGGAUGACGUCAAAUCAUCAUGCCCCUUAUGACCUGGGCUACACACGUGCUACAAUGGUUGGUACAACGAGUUGCGAGUCGGUGACGGCAAGCUAAUCUCUUAAAGCCAAUCUCAGUUCGGAUUGUAGGCUGCAACUCGCCUACAUGAAGUCGGAAUCGCUAGUAAUCGCGGAUCAGCACGCCGCGGUGAAUACGUUCCCGGGCCU
rnacentral:rRNA from 1 species